rnacentral:rRNA from 1 species
UACAGAGGUCUCAAGCGUUGUUCGGAUUCAUUGGGCGUAAAGGGUGCGUAGGCGGCGGGGCAAGUCGGAUGUGAAAUCUCCGGGCUUAACUCGGAAACUGCCAUUGAUACUAUCUUUCUUGAAUACCGUGGAGGUCAGCGGAAUAUGUCAUGUAGCGGUGAAAUGCUUAGAUAUGACAUAGAACACCAAUUGCGAAGGCAGCUGGCUACACGAAUAUUGACACUGAUGCACGAAAGCGUGGGGAUCAAACAGG